AUUGAACGCUGGCGGCAGGCCUAACACAUGCAAGUCGAACGAGUGGCGGACGGGUGAGUAAUGUCUGGGAAACUGCCCGAUGGAGGGGGAUAACUCCUGGAAACGGUAGCUAAUACCGCAUACCAUCGGAUGUGCCCAGAUGGGAUUGGCUAGUAGGUGGGGUAACGGCUCACCUAGGCGACGAUCCCUAGCUGGUCUGAGCGGAUGACCAGCCACAAUGGAACUGAGACACGGUGCAGACGCCUACGGUAGGCAGGAGUGGGGAAUAUUGCACAAUGGGCGCAAGCCUGAUGCAGCAAUGCCGAGUGUAUGAAGAAGGCCUUGGGGUUGUAAAGUACUUUCAGCGAGGAGGCGUUACUCGAAGAAGAAGCACCGGCUAACUCCGUGCCAGCCGCCGCGGUAAUUC
rnacentral:rRNA from 1 species